AAAUAGUGCCCUAGAAGUGAAAAUAAAAAGUGAGUGAAAGUGAAGGAGAAAAAGGGUUGAAGGAGGUUUUUUUUUUUCUCCUUCACUUUCACUCACUUUUUAUUUUCACUUCUAGGGCACUAUUUC